UAAGGAUUUAAGUUAAAAUAAACUAUUAACCUUCAAAGUUAAAAAUAGAUAUGAUUCUAAGCCUU
rnacentral:tRNA from 1 species